AUACGAACUUAGUAAGUGGUUGACGUGC
rnacentral:sRNA from 1 species